CACCAUUCUUUAAGAAGGAGCAGUGGAAAGGAACAAGGGACAUUAAUGAAAGCUGUUAUUAUAAGGUAAUUACAGAUCUUUUGAGAAUCAUUGACAGAUUAACUCAUGUAUACAUGCCUAGCUGUAAUAAACUGGCAAAUAAAAAA